AUUGAACGCUUGCGGCAGGCCUAACACAUGCAAGUCGAGCGAGCGGCGGACGGGUGAGUAAUGUCUGGGAAACUGCCUGAUGGAGGGGGAUAACUACUGGAAACGGUAGCUAAUACCGCAUACCAUCAGAUGUGCCCAGAUGGGAUUAGCUAGGAGGUGGGGUAAUGGCUCACCUAGGCGACGAUCCCUAGCUGGUCUGAGAGGAUGACCAGCCACACUGUAACUGAGACACGGUCCAUACUCCUGCGGGAGGCAGCAGUGGGGAAUAUUGCACAAGGGGAGCAAGCCUGAUGCAGCCAUGCCGCGUGUGUGAAGAAGGACUUCGGGUUGUAAAGCACUUUCAGCGGGGAGGCGUUACCGGCAGAAGAAGCACCGGCUAACUCCGUGCCAGCAGCCGCGGUAAUAC
rnacentral:rRNA from 1 species